AUCACAUCGAGCUCCUUAAUUUCUUUUACCCUUCUUCAAAAUAAAAUGAAAACCCACAACAAUCAAAUCCUUUUAUCUUUCUUCCCUAAUUUAUAAUUAUAAUUUAUAUUCCUCUGUUUGUUAUUCUUCUUCAAAACCCAAUUGAAUAUAUCUCCAAAACUCAACAGACGCUACGCUUCGUCGAGUCGAUUCUCGAUUGAGCUAACAACAGAUAAUUGAGCGCAUGGAAAAACAUGAAAUAGCGAUUCAAAGAUAUCAUGUACACGUGGAGAGCUGCUUUGACACACAAGUUGCUAGCAUUGCUACCUGGAUGGGAUUUGCACCAUAAAAGAUACCUCAGUAAAUGAAGCAGUCAAAGAAACUUUGUCGCAUAGAUGCUAUGACUACAUUCAAUUUCCCAAGCAUCUUUGCGUUUUCUGGUUUGGUGCUCCAUUUUACAGGACAUCGAUAGUUCUGCUUACACUCAUUAAGGAUGUCCUUAUUGUAACUGGGCAGAUCAUCUCCUGCAGAUCAUGCUCAUGUAACUGGGCAGUCGCCAGUGAAAUGACCAUUAUCUUGCGGAAGUAAAGAGGACUUGCCUCCAGAAAUGGUGGUUGGUUCUGCUUCUGCUGAUGACUGUGCUGUUAAGCCAUUGAUUGUUCAGCUGCUAAGUGGGGAAAGAGGCUUUUCAUAGGAUGUAUUCCAAUUGAAGCUACUUUAAUAAUGUGCGGUUGCAUUCCAGUCAGUUUGGCCAUGUUUUGGACGUGUAUCUUCCCAAGUUGGAGCUAUGCCAGAAAGCUUUGGAGGAGAAUAUAAUUGUUUAUUUGGGGACAGUUUGUGGGAAGACCCACAUUGCUGUACUGCUUACACACAAGCUGAGUCACUUGAUAAGGAAGCCCCAGAAGCAGAUAUGCAUCUUUUUGCCCCUACAGUGGCUCUGGUUUAGCAGGUAAGCUACUAUUUACCAUGUUGGUUUUUUAAUUUGAUGUUCAGUUUUGGGUUGUAUUUAAGUUUGAGACAAAUUUUCUAGUUUAUAUGACUAAUACAUUGCACAGUAAUGAAGUCGUGUGCUCCUUGGCUUGGCUGAGGUGGAAGGUGUGCAGGCCGUGAGAAGGUGGUUGGGCUGUUUGUUUUAACUUUAGUGCUUAUGUGUGCAAUUUCUUAUUGCAACUCUAGAUUUUAAGGAGGGGCUUUCUGAUUCUAAGUGGUUCAAUUUCACUUUGGAAGGGUGUUUGGCAUUUAAUAUAUUGAAUCAAGAUUAUACGAUGAACUCAUUACUCCUUGAAAUAUAUUAACAAAAUCAAAAUAAGGCUAGAAUACAAUACCUAAACAUCAAUUUCUAGCAUUGAGGAUUCAAUUACUAGAAAUCGGCCAACCUUGAUUGUGCAGAAGUGUGGGUUUACUCUUCUAAACCUUUGUAAAUAUACAAAGAUGCUACAGUAACCGUGUAAGCUUUGUAUACAAUAUUUUAUUGAUUUCUCUCUUUCUCUCUCCCUUCUUUGUCUAUGUUCAUCCCAGAUUGCUUCAAAUCCACCCAACACGGCCCAACCACCACUCAAUCACCACCACCACAACCCAUCACAACUCAUCACAACCCAUGAUAUUCCAAUCACAAAAUCAACCAAAAACAAAGGAAAAUCAAACCAAAAAUCAAUCUAAACCCAAAAUCAAACCUUCAAUGGAAAAUUCAACAACUUAGAACCCAAAAUCAAACUUUCAACAAAAAACCCGUCAACCCAAACCCAAAAUCAAACCCAAACCCAAAUUGAAGCCGUCGUUGUCACCACUGCCAUGGAGAGCUUGCUGCUUCUUUGCUCAUGGAGAGCUUGCUGCUGCCAUGAGAGAGGAGAGAAACAAGUGCUUGAGAGCUACGGCAAAGGAAAAGAUCAAAAAAAAAAAAAAAAUGAAGAGAAAAGACCGUGGGAGA